rnacentral:rRNA from 1 species
UUGUAAGUAAUGAAGAGCGUACGGUGGAUGCCUUGGCACCAGGAGCCGAUGAAGGACGUAGGAGGCUGCGAUAAGCCUCGGGGAGCUGUCAACCGAGCUGAGAUCCGAGGAUGUCCGAAUGGGGAAACCCAGCACGAGUGAUGUCGUGUUACCCGCACCUGAAUAUAUAGGGUGUGUGGAGGGAACGUGGGGAAGUGAAACAUCUCAGUACCCACAGGAAGAGAAAACAAUAGUGAUUCCGUGAGUAGUGGCGAGCGAAAGCGGAAGAGGCUAAACCAUGGAUGUGUGAUAGCCGGCAGGUGUUGCAUUCGUGGGGUUGUGGGGUUCAUCUUGUCAAUGCUGCCGUGUUGGCCGACAGUAAGAAAUCAUUGUGUUAGUGGAAGUGGUCUGGAACGGCCUGUCGUAGAGGGUGAGAGUCCCGUACACGAAAAUGCGAUGACUGUCGUGAUGGAAACCCAAGUAGCACCGGGC